GAGAGGUGCAAACGUUAUUCGGAAUUAUUGGGCGUGAAGGGUGCGUAGGCGGCCUAUUAAGUCUGUUGUUUAAUCCUCCGGCCUAACCGGAGAGCAGCAAUGGAAACUGAUAAGCUAGAGGGAGAAAGAGAGAAGUGGAAUCUCGGAGUAGCGGUAAAAUGCGUAGAUCUCGAGAGGAACACCAAUGGCGAAGGCAGCUUCUUGGUUCUCUUCUGACGCUGAGGCACGAAAGCGUGGGUAGCAAACAGGAUUAGAUACCCUGGUAGUCCACGCCGUAAACGAUGAUCACUAGAUGUUGGCUCCGUUUGGGGGUCAGUGUCGUAGCUAACGCGAUAAGUGAUCCGCCUGGGAGUACGGUCGCAAGACUA
rnacentral:rRNA from 1 species